GGGGAUUUAGCUCAGUGGUAGAGAGCGCUUGCCUAGCAAGCGCGAGGCCCUGGGUUCGGUCCCCAGCUCCU
rnacentral:tRNA from 1 species